rnacentral:rRNA from 1 species
UACAGAGGGUGCGAGCGUUAAUCGGAAUUACUGGGCGUAAAGCGUGCGUAGACGGCUAUCUAAGUCGGGUGUGAAAGCCCCGGGCUCAACCUGGGAAUUGCAUUCGAGACUGCUCUGCUAGGGUGCGGAAGAGGGAAGCGGAAUUUCCGGUGUAGCGGUGAAAUGCGUAGAUAUCGGAAGGAACACCAGUGGCGAAAAGCGGCUUCCUGGUCCAGCACCGACGUCAGGCACGAAAGCGUGGGGAGCAAACAGG